GGAUUGGAAAUGGGGGAACCCUGAUCCAGCAAUGCCGCGUGAGUGAAGAAGGCCUUAGGGUUGUAAAGCUCUUUCGGCGGGGACGAUGGUGACGGUACCCGCAGAAGAAGCCCCGGCUAACUUCGUGCCAGCAGCCGCGGUAAUACGAAGGGGGCUAGCGUUGUUCGGAAUCACUGGGCGUAAAGGGCGCGUAGGCGGCGCGACAAGUCAGGCGUGAAAGCCCCGGGCUCAACCCGGGAAUUGCGCUUGAUACUGUCGUGCUUGAGGCCGGGAGAGGAUGGCGGAAUUCCCAGUGUAGAGGUGAAAUUCGUAGAUAUUGGGAAGAACACCGGUGGCGAAGGCGGCCAUCUGGACCGGUUCUGACGCUGAGGCGCGAAAGCGUGGGGAGCAAACAGGAUUAGAUACCCUGGUAGUCCACGCCGUAAACGAUGAGUGCUAGACGUCGGGGGGUUCACCCUCCGGUGUCGCAGCUAACGCUUUAAGCACUCCGCCUGGGGAGUACGGUCGCAAGAUUAAAACUCAAAAAAAUUGACGGA
rnacentral:rRNA from 1 species